UACGUAGGGGGCAAGCGUUGUCCGGAUUUAUUGGGCGUAAAGCGCGUGUAGGCGGCCACGCAGGUCCGCUGUGAAAACUCGAGGCUCAACCUCGAGCUGUCGGUGGAAACCGCGUGGCUAGAGUCCGGAAGAGGGGACUGGAAUUCCCGGUGUAGCGGUGGAAUGCGCAGAUAUCGGGAGGAACACCGGUGGCGAAGGCGGCCUUCUGGACGGAUACUGACGCUGAGACGCGAAAGCGUGGGGAGCAAACAGG
rnacentral:rRNA from 1 species